UAACGCGUGAGCAACCUGCCUCUCAGAGGGGGAUAACGUUUUGAAAAGAACGCUAAUACCGCAUAACAUAUCGGAACCGCAUGAUUCUGAUAUCAAAGGAGCAAUCCGCUGAGAGAUGGGCUCGCGUCCGAUUAGUUAGUUGGUGAGGUAACGGCUCACCAAGGCUACGAUCGGUAGCCGGACUGAGAGGUUGAUCGGCCACAUUGGGACUGAGACACGGCCCAGACUCCUACGGGAGGCAGCAGUGGGGGAUAUUGCGCAAUGGGGGAAACCCUGACGCAGCAACGCCGCGUGAAGGAAGAAGGUCUUCGGAUUGUAAACUUCUUUUGUCAGGGACGAAGAAAGUGACGGUACCUGACGAAUAAGCUCCGGCUAACUAC
rnacentral:rRNA from 1 species